rnacentral:lncRNA from 1 species
CUUGGUGUCUGAGAGGUUUUGUCUCCGGCUGGUCAUGCUACAUUUCUUGGUUCCCUGACCGGGAAACGAGGCAGACAAAACCUGGGUAGUUAAGGGGCUACCCGAGGCAGCCCCUUAGGCGGCUUAGGCCUGCUGUGUGGAGCAUCCCUGCAGGGGACUCCAGCCAGCCUGAGUGAAGCCAUCCGAAGAGCGAUCCCAGGUAGAGAAUUGCCCCGGUGGAACGCCUCGCCAGAGCAGUGCGUAGCAGGCCCCUGCGGAGGAUUAACACAGUGGCUGAACACCAGGAAGGAACUGGCACUUGGAGUCCAGACAUCUGAAAUUUAGUAAGACUAGUCUUUAGAACUUGCCCCACUCCAUCUGAGUGGAAGCGUGGCCUGAUCACCCAGGGUGUGCCUGCAUUGGCACUUUUGUUCUGGUUUUGACUUGACUUGAAUUGCUGGACACUUUGGUUUUAGUUUUGACUUGGCUUGAAUUUUUUGGUACACGGAUUUUGAAUUUCGUGAUUUUGGUUUGGUAUAAACAGUAAAAGUGUGGGUGUGCCCUCUUUACCCGUUCUUUGUCUUGUGGUGAGUGUGUGUAGUGUGAGCGUGGUAUUUUGUCUCAAAAAAAAAAAAAAUAGGUCAGGUGCAAAGUAAGCCCACCCCACUGGGAACUAUGUUAAAGAAUUUCAAGAAAAGAUUUUAGGGAGACUAUGGAGUCACUAUGACUCCAGGAAAACUUAGGACUUUGUGUGACAUAGACUGGCCAGCAUUAGAGGUGGGUUGGCCAUCAGAAGGAAGCCUAGACAGGUCCUUUGUUUCAAAAGUAUGACACAAGUUAACCUGUAAGCCAAGGCACCCAGACCAAUUUCCGUACAUAGACAGUUACAGCUGGUUUUAGACCCCCUUCCUCCCCACAGUAGUUAAGAGAACAGCAGCAUAAGCGGCUGGCA